AUGACCUGGGGAUCUUUUUAAAAUGACAGUUCUGAUUCAGUAGUUCUGGGAUGCAAUCUGAGAUUCUAUAUUUCUAACAAGUUCUCAGGUGGUGC
rnacentral:pre_miRNA from 1 species